rnacentral:snRNA from 1 species
AGCUUUGCGCAGUGGCAGUAACAUAGCUGAUGAGGUUCAUCCGAGGCGUGUUUAUUGCUAGUUGAAAACUAUACCCAAUACCCCGCCCGUGGACGUAUAAACCGUUCGCUGUGGCAAUUUCUGAUGGGUUCCCCGGAAC